rnacentral:rRNA from 1 species
UAACCUGCCUUGGAGUGGGGAAUAACACAGUGAAAAUUGUGCUAAUACCGCAUAAUGCAUUUGGAUCGCAUGGUUCUGAAUGCCAAAGAUUUAUCGCUCUGAGAUGGACUCGCGUCUGAUUAGCUAGUUGGCGGGGCAACGGCCCACCAAGGCGACGAUCAGCAGCCGGACUGAGAGGUUGGCCGGCCACAUUGGGACUGAGACACGGCCCAG